AAACUACAGUAGAUACAUUAUUAUUAAAAAUUCCAAACCAUUAGUUACCACCCCUAAAUUUACUCUCCUCUAAUUUCUCCCACUUUACUGUUCACGAACACUUCCCUUCCAAAAAAUUCUCCUCCAUCUUCUCAACAGAUUCAUAUUCCAAGUUUGAAUUUCAAACUAUUUCGCACUCCAUUCAACCAAUUUCAGAAUUUGAAAUAGUUUGGGGAUUACCCAAAUAGUCAAAAACUAAAAAGGAGGCACAUGCAAAAACGGCCAAGAAAAGGGGUAGAAAGGUCGCCCCUACCAUAUCCAGAUCUGCACUACCAACGUGAUUGCGGAAUGUUCGUAGCUGCAUUUGCUAAAUUCUUGAGUGACGAAAUCAACAUGUCAUAUGAUAGCUUUCGAAGUGAUUAUCUUCGCAAAAAAUAUGCAACGCUGUUAUGGAAGUAUGGUCUCGACAAGGCCAAUGCUGGAUAUGUUAGCGACAAUGAUGACCCUCCAAGGCUGAAUAGUGUCGUAAAUCCAGUAGCAGAAAAUGAACUUGUUAAUGUAGGCUAGUUAGUUUUCUAUGUUACUGUUCACAGACAUAUACAAUGCUUUUUGUUUUUUAAGAUAUAUUAAUUAGUGUUUUGGAGUA